CUUCCUCGAUCUGCUGCGGGCAGAUGUAGUGGAUGUGGGCGUCCAUGCCGCCCGCUGUCAGGAUCCUGCCCUCGCCGGCAAUGGCUUCGGUCGAGGGGCCGAUGAUGAUGUCGACGCCGGGCUGGGUGUCCGGGUUGCCGGCCUUGCCGAUGCCGGCGAUGCGGCCUUCCUUCAGGCCGAUAUCGGCCUUGUAGAUGCCGGUAUGGUCGACCACGAGGGCGUUGGUGAUGACGGUAUCGACCGCGCCCUCGGCUCGGGUGCGCUGGGACUGGCCCAUGCCGUCGCGGAU
rnacentral:sRNA from 1 species